UACGAAGGGGGCGAGCGUUGUUCGGAUUUACUGGGCGUAAAGGGCGCGCAGGCGGCCGGCUUUGUCAGGCGUGAAAGCCCCGGGCUUAACCUCGGGAAUGGCGCUUGGGACGGGCUGGGCUAGAGAUCGGGAGAGGAGAGUGGAAUUCCCAGUGUAGAGGUGAAAUUCGUAGAUAUUGGGGAAGAACACCGGUGGCGAAGGCGGCU
rnacentral:rRNA from 1 species